rnacentral:misc_RNA from 1 species
UUUCCGUAGGUGAACCUGCGGAAGGAUCAUUACCGAGUGAGGGCCCUCUGGGUCCAACCUCCCACCCGUGUUUAUCGUACCUUGUUGCUUCGGCGGGCCCGCCUCACGGCCGCCGGGGGGCACCCGCCCCCGGGCCCGCGCCCGCCGAAGACACCAUUGAACGCUGUCUGGAGAUUGCAGUCUGAGCAUCUUAGCUAAAUCAGUUAAAACUUUCAACAACGGAUCUCUUGGUUCCG